rnacentral:piRNA from 1 species
UGGUCAUACAAUCUUGGACACAAUCUUUA